AACCAAAAAACCGCAGGGGGGACCGAGGUUGGCGGCCGUGCCUUCAGACAAGGCAGGUCGAACGGCGAAAGGUUUUCNUCGGAAACCCGAGUAGAGUGGCGCACGGGUGAGUAACACGUGAGUAAUCUGCCUUUGGGGUGGGGAUACCAAUCGGAAACGAUUGUUAAUUACCGCAUAACGCAGCGGCAUCGCAAGAUGACAGUUGUUAAAGCGGGGGAACGAAGCAAUUCGUCCUCGCGCCAGGAGAGGAGCUCGCGGCAGAUUAGGUAGUUGGUGAGGUAAUGGCUCACCAAGCCUGCGAUCUGUAACCGGCCUGAGAGGGCGUUCGGUCACACUGACACUUAGAUACGGGUCAGACUCCUACGGGAGGCAGCAGUCGGGAAUUUUGGGCAAUGGGCGCAAGCCUGACCCAGUAACGCCGCGUGAAGGAUGAAGCAUUUCGGUGUGUAAACUUCGCAAGAAUAGGAAGAAUAAGAGUAAGCAAAUACCUUGCUCGAUGACGGUACUAUUUGUAAGCCCCGGCUAACUCCGUGCCAGCAGCCGCGGUAAUACGGGGGGGGCAAGCGUUGUUCGGAUUUACUGGGCGUAAAGGGUGCGUAGGCGGCACCACAAGUCACUUGUGAAAUCUCCAAGCUCAACUUGGAACGGUCAAGUGAUACUGUGGAGCUAGGGUGCAGAAGGGGCAACCGGAAUUCUCGGUGUAGCGGUGAAAUGCGUAGAUAUCGAGAGGAACACCUG
rnacentral:rRNA from 1 species